rnacentral:piRNA from 1 species
AUGAAAGUGCCACUAAUCAAAGCCUCAGGUG